UACAGAGGGGGCAAGCGUUAUUCGGAAUUAUUGGGCGUAAAGGGCGCGUAGGCGGCAUUGCAAGUCGAACGUGAAAUCCCCGGGCUCAACCCGGGAACUGCGUCCGAUACUGGCAGGCUUGAAUCCGGGAGAGGGAUGCGGAAUUCCAGGUGUAGCGGUGAAAUGCGUAGAUAUCUGGAGGAACACCGGUGGCGAAGGCAGCCCACUACGCAACUAUUGACGCUGAGGCACGAAAGCGUGGGGAUCAAACAGG
rnacentral:rRNA from 1 species